UACGAAGGGGGCUAGCGUUGUUCGGAAUUACUGGGCGUAAAGCGCGUGUAGGCGGUUGCCCAAGUCAGGGGUGAAAGCCUUGAGCUCAACUCAAGAAAUGCACUUGGUACUGGGUGGCUAGAGGACCGGAGAGGAUAGUGGAAUUCCCAGUGUAGUGGUGAAAUACGUAGAGAUUGGGAAGAACACCAGUGGCGAAGGCGGCUAUCUGGACGGUUACUGACGCUAAGACUCGAAAGCGUGGGGAGCAAACAGG
rnacentral:rRNA from 1 species